ACUUCUUUUAUAAGGGAAUAAAGUCACCUACGUGUAGGUGUUUGUAUGUACCUUAUGAAUAAGCAUCGGCUAACUCCGUGCCAGCAGCCGCGGUAAUACGGAGGAUGCGAGCGUUAUCCGGAUUUAUUGGGUUUAAAGGGAGCGUAGACGGGUCGUUAAGUCAGCUGUGAAAGUUUGAGGCUCAACCUUAAAAUUGCAGUUGAUACUGGCGCCCUUGAGUACGGUUGAGGCAGGCGGAAUUCGUGGUGUAGCGGUGAAAUGCUUAGAUAUCACGAAGAACCCCGAUUGCGAAGGCAGCCUGCUAACCCGCCACUGACGUUGAGGCUCGAAAGUGUGGGUAUCAAACAGGAUUAGAUACCCUGGUAGUCCACACGGUAAACGAUGGAUACUCGCUGUUGGCGAUAGACUGUCAGCGGCUUAGCGAAAGCGUUAAGUAUCCCACCUGGGGAGUACGCCGGCAACGGUGAAACUCAAAGGAAUUGACGGGGGCCCGCACAAGCGGAGGAACAUGUGGUUUAAUUCGAUGAUACGCGAGGAACCUUACCCGGGCUUGAAUUGCAGACGAAUUACGAGGAAACUUGUAAGCCGCAAGGCGUCUGUGAAGGUGCUGCAUGGUUGUCGUCAGCUCGUGCCGUGAGGUGUCGGCUUAAGUGCCAUAACGAGCGCAACCCUCGUGUCCAGUUACUAGCAGGCAAGCUGAGGACUCUGGACAGACUGCCAUCGUAAGAUGUGAGGAAGGUGGGGAUGACGUCAAAUCAGCACGGCCCUUACGUCCGGGGCUACACACGUGUUACAAUGGGGGGUACAGAAGGCAGCUACCGGGCGACCGGAUGCCAAUCCCGAAAGCCUCUCUCAGUUCGGACUGGAGUCUGCAACCCGACUCCACGAAGCUGGAUUCGCUAGUAAUCGCGCAUCAGCCACGGCGCGGUGAAUACGUUCCCGGGCCUUGUACACACCGCCCGUCAAGCCAUGAAAGCCGGGGGUACCUGAAGUGCGUAACCGCAAGGAGCGCCCUAGGGUAAAACUGGUAAUUGGGGCUAAGUCGUAACAAGGUAGCCGUACCGGAAGGUGCGGCUGGAACACCUCCUUUCU
rnacentral:rRNA from 1 species